UGAAACCAGGAUUAGAUACCCUGUUAUACUAUCUUUCAAUUUAAGGAUACUUGAGUAGUAAACAGUUAUGUUCUCGAAACUUAAAGGAUUUGGCGGUAUUUUAGUCUAGUUAGAGGAACCUGUUCUAUAAACGAUAAACCACGAAGAAUCUUACUCUUUUUUGUAAAUCAGUUUGUAUACCGUCAUUAUUAGAUAAUCUUUAUAAAGAAUUAUUAAAAUAAGUAUUUUAGUAUAUUAGAUCAAGGUGCAGCCAAUAGGGGAGCAAGAAAUGGGUUACAAUGUUAUUGAUAUAAACUGGGAAGAAGCUGAAAAUUUUUUUGAAGGUGGAUUUAAUAGUAAUAGUCUUUUAAUAAGGGAUUAUGAUAAUAGCUCUAAGAUAUGUACACAUCGCCCGUCGCUCGCGGGAAAA
rnacentral:rRNA from 1 species